CUCCAAGUGAUCAGAGACUUUCUGUUUCCCAGCGGCUUCCUGUCACGUUAGAAAGGGGCUUGGAUGUCUAGAGAGGAGAGGAGGUGUGGGCAGACAUGAGACAACCACGGAAUGUUCUGUAGGCUGGACAAGAAGUGGGGCACCAGCAACUGCUUCUGAUGAGGGCCUCAGGGAGCUUCCACUUAUGGAAGAAGGUACCACGUGGGGAGACGGGAAGCAAGAGACAGUGGAGGAAGCACCAGGCUCUUUUUAACCAUCAGACUCAUGGGAACUAAAACGUGUUUCCAGCCUUCGACCUUCACAUUUUGGAUACCACUGCUGCUGUGUGGCUCCAUCUUGCAUGAGCUGCCUCCACUCAGCAGACAGCAAAUUGCACUUGCCAGCGUUUGACGUUUUGCACAAGACAUGGGAAAGAACAAAUGUUGGCCUGCUUUGAGUUUAGUCGCUUAUGCAGCCAAAGGCCCAGGAGCGCAAGCUAUCUGCAGGGAAGGCAAAAGCAUCUCUGUUCAUCAAAGCUGCCUGUUUAUUCCAGGGUUAUAAUAGCAGGAAUAAACGGCAACCACACCUGACAUUGUAUGAUGGUUUAUGGCUUCCUGGCCACAUUUUCAAGCAUUUAAAAAAAUUUUGAGUACAGGUAUUGUCA